CUUUGACUUACACCUUGAGAUGCUUUAGUCUGGCUGCCGUGUUGAGUAUGGACGACUGGGAAGUUUGCGGGGAAGCAGAUCAGUGAAGAGAAUGUUACAGAGAGGCAGAGGAAGAGGACUGUGGCUUUGGCUAGGAAGUGAUGAGAUGUUACCAGAAUCUGGAUACAUUUGAAGGGCAGAACUACCAGGAUUCAUUACAGCUUGGGUGUGCGUCCCUGUGGCUCCCCUCUCCAUGGCAAGAUGGGCCAGCGUGAUGUUUGAUGCUGAGUACCCUGAAGGGACAGGGAGAGGAAGAAUUUGGAGCGCUCUGACCUGGGGCAAACUGAAUGUUUGGUGCCCACCAAACCACAAAAAUUACUGCUUUGUAGCCAUCCAUGAUUCCUUUGGUGAUCAAUUUCUUGGAUAGGGAUUUGUUCCAGAAAUGUUCCAGAAGCC
rnacentral:lncRNA from 1 species